AACAUUCCAAGCUGCUACAGCACAAACUAACCUGUUUCAUGGACAUUCAGUAAUAUUUAAUGUAACUAUAAUAAAGUGUGUCUUUCUUUCAUAAACAAAGAAUCACAAUCAUUGGCCAAUUGCUGUAGUAUAAGAGGAGCAUGUCCUACAUGAAGAUGUGCUGGUAUAGCAAAAUAAUCAGUUACUCAUUAGUGGUAUAGUGCUCGAAAGGAACUACUAGCCACCUGUAGGCAGAGUUUAUCAGAAUAUGUAUGGGGAAACUUCAAGAAGAGCUCUUCUGAAUCACUGUAGUUCUUCAAAACUCACCAGGAAUGUGUUUCUCCGGUAUUUAAAGGAGGAUGAAUCGUGGAGAGCACAGGAAAACAACGGACUGAUGGUUUGAGGGAUUCGGGUGAUGAUGAUGAUGAUGAUGAUGAAGGUGAGGAUUAACCAUGAACGAAGUCAGGUAAGUAUACACUCAUGCUGAGCCUGAUGAGGCCGGACGACAUGUAAGUGAAAGCUGUGUGCUUAUGAAGGGUUCUUGAUUGGGAUGUGACAGGUGUGGCCGGUUAGUACUCAGGUGAUUGUGAACGAGUAGGUGGAGCUGAAGGAGCAGGUGUUGAUGGUAUGCUGCAUGAAUCCAUGAUAGAUAUGUUGAAUAAAGGAAAGGUUAUCUAAUAUUUCCCAUUAAGAGAUUAUAACAUAACAAAUAUUACAUAAUUUGCUUAUAUUCAAUACUAAUAUUGUGUUAAAGUACACCUAUUCAGUGUCAUCGUAUGUUUAAGCCUUUUGCAUGUGUUAUUCAUUUUAGACUAUGUACAGCAUCUACUUUUUCUUAUUUUACUUAGUUAGAGACCUACAGCGAUUGAGAGAGAUUAAGAAAGGGGAAUCAUUGCUCAAGACCUUCACUGUGAUUGACAGCUUGUGUGUGUGUGUGUGUGUGUGUGUGUGUGUGUGUGUGUGUGUGUGUGUGUGUGUGUGUGUUUGUUUCUGUUUGUGUGUGUGUGGAAGCCUUGCACACAGAGGUAAGAUUUCAGUCUCCUGCUGAGAAUUUCUAUGAGUCAUAUUCUAGAAUUCUUACCCUACUCAUAGGCUUGUUCUUUAUUACAGAAUACCUACACAUUUGGAUUAGUAGAGUAUGCCCAAAUAUAUUUACUUUUUAAAUUGAGGGUGUGUUUAAUUGAGUAUCAUCUUCAUUACACUGAUUCGCUGACCAUCUGUUGUGGUUCUUGGAAUUACAGACUUUAUAAAUCACCAGGGUUGCAUGUAAUUCAUGGUAUUUCUUCAAGGGUUCAUUCACUUUUAGUGGUUUCAGAUUUUUAUGGCAUCCAGUUUCUGGGAACCUGUGGCUUUUAUUUUGAAAUUCAAUUCUAGAUAAACGCAGCCAGUCCUGUGAAUGUAAGCAAACUGGCAUAGGAUUCAUUUCAUUAUUCCAUGAAGUAAAGUCAAUACAAAGAAAGGGGGUCAGUGUUUGUUUAGUUAUACAGGUUGUCCCAAUAGUUGUCAUACACAGGGGAAAUUAACACACUCACUCACGCAUCUUCAUCCGCUUGAUCCUUUCUCAGGGUCACGGGGAACCUGGAGCCUAUCCCAGGGAGCAUCAGGCACAAGGCACGGUACACCCUGGAUAGGGUGCCAAUCCAUUGCAGCGCACACUCACAUACACACUCACACACCUAUUCAUACACUAUGGCCACUUUUUCUGACACGCCAAUCAGCCUACCAUGUAUGUCUUUGAGCUGGGGGAGGAAACCGGAGUACCCGGAGGAAACCCCCGCAGCUCGGGGAGAACAUGCAAACUCCUCACACACAUGAAAAUUAACACUUUUUAGCAAAAUAUCUUCCAAAAUAUCUCCAAAGUUUUCAUACAAUACCCCCCCCCACACACACACACAUACAUACACAAAACAAUCAGCCAUAACAUAAAACCACCCGCCUAAUUUUGUGUAAGUCCCCCAUUUGUGUACGUGCCACCAAAACAGCUCUGACCCAUCAAGACAUGGACUCCACAAGACCUCUGAAGGUGUGCUGUGGUAUCUGCCUCCAAGACAUUAGCAGCAGAUCCUUUACGUCCUGUAAGUUGGGAUCAGACUUGUUUGUCCGGCACAUCCCACAGAUGCUCGAUCAAUUUGAGAUCCGGGGAAUUUGGAGGCAGAAUCAACAUUUGACCUCUUUGUCAUGUUCCUCAAAUCAUUCUUGAAUAAUUUUUUCAGUGUUGCAGGGAGCAUUAUUCUGCUGAAAGAGGCCAGUGCCAUUAGGGAAUACCGUUGCCAUGAAGGGAUGUACUUGGUCUGCAGUAAUAUUUAAGUAGGUGAUACGUAUCAAAGUAACAUCCACAUGAAUGCCGGGACGCAAGGUUUCCCAGCAGAACAUUGCCCAGAGCAUCACACUUCCUUUGCCAGCUUGCCUUCUUCCCAUAGUGCAUCCUGGUGCCAUCUCUUCCCCAGGUAAGCGACGCACACGCACCAGGCCGUCCACAUGAUGUAAAAGAAAACGUGAUUUAUCUGACCAGGCCACCUUCUUCUAUUGCUCCAUGGUCCAGUUCUGAUGCUCACGUGCCCGUUGUAGUCGCUUUCGGUGGUGGACAGGGGUCAACAUGGGGUUUGACUGGUCUGCAGCUACACGUCCCCAUAUGCAAGCAGCAAUGCAUUGUGUGUUCUGACACCUUUCUAUCAUAGCAAGCAUUAACUUUAUCAAUUUGUGCUACAGUAGCUCUUCUGUGGGAUCAGACCAGACGGGCUAACCUCCGCUCCCCACGGGCAUCAGUGAGUCUUGGGUGCCCAUGACCCUGUCGACGAUUCACGGGUUUUCCUUCUGUGGACCACUUUUGGAAGGUACUAACCACUGCAUAUUCGGAACACUCCACAGACCUGCUGUUUCGGAGAUGCUCUGACCCAGUCGUCUAGCCAUCACAAUUUGGCCCUCGCCAAAGUCGCUCAGAUCCUUAUGCUAGUGCAUUUUUCCUGCUUCCAACACAUCAACUUCAAGAACUGACUGUUCACUUACUGUAUAAUAUAUAUCCAACCCCUUGACAGGUGCCAUUGUAUAUAUAUAUAUAUAUACAUAUAUAUACAUAUAUCCAUCCAUGGAUGGAUAUAUAUACUCAUAAAUGAUAAAUGUUAUUUAUUGAAGCAAAAAAGUUAUCCAAUACCAACUGGGCCUGUGUGAAAAUGUAUUUGCCCCCAUAGUUACUAAGUCCCCAGAAAGUUGAAAGAAAUUCCAGAAAUGACGACCAAGAAGGUGGUUUAAAUACAUCAGACUGGGAAGGGUUACAAAGCCAUUUCAAAUGCUCUGGGACUCCAAAGAACUACAGUGAGAGACCAUUAUCUCCAAAUGGAAAAACUCGGCACAGUGGUAAACCUUCAAAAAAGUGGCCAACCAUCCAAAAUUCCCCAAACAGCACAGCAACUAUUCAUCCCGGAAGUCACAAAAGAGCCAAGGACAACAUCAAAAAGGACCUACAGGCCUCUCUUGCAUCAAUAAAGGUCACUGUUCAUGACUCCACUAUCAGAAAGACACUGGGCAAAAAUGGCAUCCAUGGAAG
ensembl:lncRNA